rnacentral:rRNA from 1 species
UACGUAGGGGGCAAGCGUUGUCCGGAAUCAUUGGGCGUAAAGAGCGUGUAGGCGGGUCUUUAAGUCAGGGGUGAAAUGCCAAGGCUCAACCUUGGAACUGCCUUUGAUACUGGAGAUCUUGAGUCCGGGAGAGGUGAGUGGAACUGCGAGUGUAGAGGUGAAAUUCGUAGAUAUUCGCAAGAACACCAGUGGCGAAGGCGGCUCACUGGCCCGGAACUGACGCUGAGACGCGAAAGCGUGGGGAGC